CACAUUUCCUACCUGGAAGAAGAGGACUCUGGGUUUGGUGAGGGGAGGCCACAGGAAGAGAACUGAGUUCUCAGAGGGCACAGCCAGCAUACUCCUCCCAGGGUGAGCCCAAAAGACUGGGGCCUCCCUCAUCCCUUUUUACCUCUCCAUACAAAGGCACCACCCACAUGCAAAUCCUCACUUAGGCACCUACAGGAAAUGACUACACAUUUCCUUAAAUUCAGGGUCCAGCUCACAUGGGAAGUGCUUUCUGAGAGUCAUGGACCUCCUGCACAAGAACAUGAAACACCUGUGGUUCUUCCUCCUCCUGGUGGCAGCUCCCAGAUGGGUCCUGUCCCAGGUGCAGCUGCAGGAGUCGGGCCCAGGACUGGUGAAGCCUUCACAGACCCUGUCCCUCACCUGCGCUGUCUCUGGUGGCUCCAUCACUAGUGGUUUUUACUACUGGAGCUGGAUCCGCCAGCCACCAGGGAAGGGACUGGAGUGGAUUGGGAGUAUCUAUUAUAGUGGGAGCACCUACUACAACCCAUCCCUCAAGAGUCGAGUCACCAUAUCAGUAGACACGUCCAAGAACCAGUUCUCCCUGAAGCUGAGCUCUGUGACCGCCGCGGACACGGCCGUGUAUUACUGUGCGAGAGGCACGGUGAGGGGAGAGAAGAGGCCAUGUGGAGACAUAGUGGACUAGAAGAUGCAAGCCAAGAAGAAGCCGCACCAAGAACCAACCCUGCCAGCACCUGGACCUUGGACAUUCAGACUUCAGAAUGGUGAGAAAAUCAA